AAAACUGGUGACACUGGUACCAAAAUGGGAGGACGUCAUAGUUACCACUGUAGCUACGGAGCAGCGUGCGGUGGGGCCGGAAAACGAGAAGCACCAUCGGAUGUUUUGACUUUACGAUCUGAAAACGGUAUGGUUAACGCUACUAGCCUAUGCUUUGCCAUCUUGGCCGUCAAGAUGUGCAUGACCAAACGCUUUGACAAACGUCCGGAGAGUCCCCGAGAUAUGGGACUAAAAAGUAUCUGGUUUGAUGGAGCAGAGGAUAUCAAAGUCCAAACAAACCUUCCGGAUAAAUUUGACAAAUCAAAGGAAACCGACGUCAUCAUUCAUGGAUACUUGGUAGAUACGUCACUUCCUGAAAUACGUGACCUGGCUGGGAUGUUAAAACAGAAAGGAAACAACGUCCUGAUGAUUGACUGGGGUAAGGGAGCCGGAGAAAACUACCGUCAGUCUGCCUCUAACGUUCAGACCGUGGGGGCAUACGUGUACAUGAUUCUGGUCAAGAACAAGAUCCCCUGGGAGAAGGUCCAUCUCAUAGGUCAAGGUCUGGGUGCCCACGCAGCGGCGGAAGCAGGAAAACUCGCCAAGGGGAAAGUCAACCGUAUUACUGGCCUAGAUCCAGCGAGUCCAUUGUUUGAAGAUACGGAAUUUGGAAUCAGCAAAGAAAGUGCUAAAUUUGUAGACAUCAUUCAUACAGAUGCGAGACCUUUUGGUGGGCAAUGUUAAAUCAUAACGCAUUCAUAAGAUGCCUUAUACCUAAAUAUUUGAAUGUAUUUCCAUAUUUUAAUAUAGAGUCUAAUGAAAAUAAAUGUCACCUAUAAAUACCACAAUUAUCUAACUCUUUUAAUCGGUAUACAUUAUCUUGUUACAUCACAGGCUAUGGAAUGAAAAAACCCUGCGGACAUCUAGACGUGUAUGUAAAUGGAGGAAGAAGACAACCAGGGUGUACUUAUAACCCGAAAAAACCUGUUAGAAUCCACGAUCUUAAAAGAGCAACGUUCGGCAAAGCGUGUGGUCAUCUUAAAGCCGUGGCUUACUACGUAGAGUCGGCCAGAGACAACUGUAAACUAAGAGCUUGUGAAUGUACCUGGAAGAAAUUUUUGGCUUCUAAAUGCAGUCGUGACAAGUGUGUGUACUGGGGUUAUGAUUUAACAGAGGACUCGGGCACAUACUACGGGGUCACGGCAACUGCUUUUCCUUACUGCAGAACUGACGGAUCCGAGUAGAGUUGAACAUUUGACGAGGCUAAAAUGAUUGAUUGUAAGCCUUCAUUAUGAUCGACGAUCAUUGCUUAUCAAUAAAUGCGUUUAUCUG
rnacentral:misc_RNA from 1 species